GAUAGAGGCGCGGGCUUCAAGAGUACCCCUCUCCGACGGCAGGACACCGGGGGAGACGGGAAAGGGGAGACCGCCGAGGCGCUACUCCGCUGCCUGGCGGGGAAGAGCCGGGCCGUCGGAGAACAUCCGGCGGACUGUCACCCCCAAGGUGGAGCGCUGUC
rnacentral:ncRNA from 1 species